CCUACGGUGGCAGCAGUGGGGAAUAUUGGACAAUGGGCGAAAGCCUGAUCCAGCCAUGCCGCGUGUGUGAAGAAGGCCUUCGGGUUGUAAAGCACUUUCAGUGGGGAAGAAAGCCUUGGGGCUAAUACCCUCGAGGAAGGACAUCACCCACAGAAGAAGCACCGGCUAACUCCGUGCCAGCAGCCGCGGUAAUACGGAGGGUGCGAGCGUUAAUCGGAAUUACUGGGCGUAAAGCGCGCGUAGGCGGUCUGAUAAGCCGGUUGUGAAAGCCCCGGGCUCAACCUGGGAACGGCAUCCGGAACUGUCAGGCUAGAGUGCAGGAGAGGAAGGUAGAAUUCCCGGUGUAGCAGUGAAAUGCGUAGAGAUCGGGAGGAAUACCAGUGGCGAAGGCGGCCUUCUGGACUGACACUGACGCUGAGGUGCGAAAGCGUGGGUAGCAAACAGGAUUAGAUACCCCUGUAGUC
rnacentral:rRNA from 1 species